AGAGUACAACCCAUAUGACUCCGUGACCUGAUGGUAACUUGUGGGAGAAAACCAUAGAACUAAAAAUAAGUCACAGCGCUGAAGGGGGUAGAAACAAAAAGACUGUAAAGGCAAGCUUCUGGUGCUUUCCUGGACCGUCCAAUAGCCAGACGACACGAUUCAGAAACUGCGAAAACCCACAAGCUCUUCCUUGUUAAAGCCUCACAGGGGCUCCUGUGCUUUUCUCACAGCUAUGGCUCACUGAUGUCUCUAGCGGCAGAGACCAGCAGGACCCAGCAGGACCCAGCAGGACCCAGCAGGACCCAGCAGGACCCAGCAGGACCCAGCAGGACCCAGCAGGACCCAGCAGGACCCAGCAGGACCCAGCAGGACCCAGCGCUCAGGGUACAUCAUGCAUCCUUAUAAACACCCUUCCCGAGUCUUCCUUCAGACUCGCUUUCUUUCAUCUUUUGACCAUGGAACAGCUCCUAGCUAAAUUCAGCAAUGGAAAUGUUCGUAUGCUUGCCCCAUAAGCAAGCCACAAGAUUCACAGGAAGCUGUGUUUACCCUGGAACAUAGUACAUGGAAGGAACAUGGGGAAGAGCAGUACCAUUGGCCAAAUUCACUUGACCUACCAAGAUCACACAGGCUGCAUUUCAAACUCUGAAGUAUAGUUCUACUUAAAGUGUCACCUUGGAGAUAAAUUAUCCUCUG
rnacentral:lncRNA from 1 species